rnacentral:rRNA from 1 species
AGUGAACGCUGGCGGUAGGCCUAACACAUGCAAGUCGAACGGCAGCACAGUAAGAGCUUGCUCUUACGGGUGGCGAGUGGCGGACGGGUGAGGAAUACAUCGGAAUCUACUUUUUCGUGGGGGAUAACGUAGGGAAACUUACGCUAAUACCGCAUACGACCUACGGGUGAAAGCAGGGGAUCUUCGGACCUUGCGCGAUUGAAUGAGCCGAUGUCGGAUUAGCUAGUUGGCGGGGUAAAGGCCCACCAAGGCGACGAUCCGUAGCUGUCUGAGAGGAUGAUCAGCCACACUGGAACUGAGACACGGUCCAGACUCCUACGGGAGGCAGCAGUGGGGAAUAUUGGACAAUGGGCGCAAGCCUGAUCCAGCCAUACCGCGUGGGUGAAGAAGGCCUUCGGGUUGUAAAGCCCUUUUGUUGGGAAAGAAAAGCAGCAGGUUAAUACCCCGCUGUCCUGACGGUACCCAAAGAAUAAGCACCGGCUAACUUCGUG